rnacentral:rRNA from 1 species
AACGCGAAGAACCUUACCUACCCUUGACAUGGUCGGAAUCCUGAAGAGAUUUGGGAGUGCUCGAAAGAGAACCGGCGCACAGGUGCUGCAUGGCUGUCGUCAGCUCGUGUCGUGAGAUGUUGGGUUAAGUCCCGCAACGAGCGCAACCCUUGUCAUUAGUUGUUACGAAAGGGCACUCUAAUGAGACUGCCGGUGACAAACCGGAGGAAGGUGGGGAUGACGUCAAGUCUCUCAUGGCCCUUAUGGGUAGGGCUUCACACGUCAUACAAUGGUACAUACAGAGGGCCGCCAACCCGCGAGGGGGAGCUAAUCCCAGAAAGUGUAUCGUAGUCCGGAUUGUAGUCUGCAAU